CCCUGUUUGCUCCAGCCUCAUUUAUAUAUGUGUUAUGUGUGUUUGGAAUUUGCAUAAUACAAUUUGCGGUUUACCUUAAUAGUUGAUAGAUACCAUGGACUUCUAUCUAUAUAUCACAUAUCCUAAUAUAUGCAUGAUUGUUCCAAUAAGUUCGAAAUAAUAGCUGGCUACUGUUCUAUGCUAUUUAGUUAUAUACAUGUCAUCAAGUCACAGAUCUCGCACGCGGCGACGCGUGCAAAGCAACUCUCUUUCACCUCCAAUGAAUGUGCCAGCUAUCAAUUAUCCAGAAUCCCCUGGAAUGCCUGUUUCAAUUUCAUACCUACAGCCAGACUGCCAGAAGCUACAAACCACAAUAGCAAGGAACCAUUUUUGUCCCAUUGUACCACCGCAUAUCGCUACACAGAAUCGCAAGAAAAGAAAACGUUUGAACUAUUUCAAAGCUCUGGCACAACAAGGUUUAUAUUUUCUUCCCCUUUUAGUAACACAAGUAUUUAACAAAAGAAAUAUGCUAAUGGUACCAACACUGCAUGUAUUAACUCAAAUGAUACUCAUGUUUGCAGCUUCAAAAAGUGACUUGCCGCUCUAUUCAUUACAAGAUAUGUUUGAAUCAGUGAAAGAAUAUACAAAUUUCCUCAAAGGUAUGUCCCCUCUACCUAUGCGCUCGAUUAAUAUAAUACAGCAUGUAAUCUUUUGCCACAAGGUAUUAUACCAUGUUUAAACUAAAAGAACUUUUUUUGUUGCAUAUAUUUAGAGACAUAUAAAAAUCGAUCUUAUUAUGGUGCGUCGGAUUAUAUCUGUGAUAAAUGUGAUGCUAUCUUUUGGUACCAAGAGCGUAUCGAAAAAAGCAGCUCACAUGCCCAAAAAAGAAUUAUAUAUAAUUUGUGUUGCCAUGGUGGAAAAAUCUCAUUGCCAUGCUUUAGACCUAGACCAGAACCACUUAAUGAACUUAUUCGGUUUGAUGGGGGCCCACAAAGCAAUAAAUUUAUGCGUCAUAUAAGACAAUACAACUCUAUAUUUGCUUUUACCUCUAUGGGA